UCCUGGUCGCUCAUCUUGUCCGAUUGCCGUGCCUCACGAGGACGAAAAGGAAGGAGGGAGGAAGAGAGAAGGAGAGAGAGAAACUUCCGCGCAAAUCUUCGCGGGUCUUUCAUAUGAGUGGCGCCAGCUGUGAUACAGUUCGGCAGAUCACAUCGAGCAGACGUCUCCGUCGGACCACUCGCAAGCAUCCGGGAGCUGCGCGACGUCGCGUCGCCACAAUUCCGCGACGCGCAAAACGCGGGAUGAAAUUGGCGUGACGGAGAGAGGAGCAGAAGCAAAAGAGAGGGAGAGACCGUUUCAAACUCGAAAUCUAACGAGGAACACUCAGAGCCACGCGAGCGGCCGCGCGAUACGGUACGUUUGAAUGCCAGUGUGAACGACGUCACGUUAUGUGUAUCGAGAAACAUACGAGCCACGCGAGGCUCGUUUGCAUCGUCUUGUUUCUAGUGGCAAUUGUUCCGCCGUUUGGACUCUGCCAAAAUGCCGAGGCACGCGGUGCGUUGUUCGAUGGUGACAGGAAGAGAUCGGAUUACUUCACCGACGAGUCGCGCACUCUGGACGCCCAUCAGCAGUAUAGCCGGGGCGCAUCCUCUGAAGGGAUGGAGGUGCUCGAAGAAAACAGAAGGACGCUUUCGUCGCGAGGUGUUAUCGAGGAGCUGGAGGGGACGGAAGCGGAAGCGAAAGCGGGACCCCGCGGCGAUGAACGCGGGGACAAACAUCUUUUGUCGGAAAAUGGUGUGAAAAUUCCUCCUCGAAGAAACGUAAAUGUCACAAACUCGGGCAGACAACAAGGGGACAAUUUCGGAAAUCGAACGCGCAAGAAGCGUCGUAGGGGUAAAGAGCUGAGGAAUUCCAGUAUCAAGGAUCGUGCGCACGAGAUCAGCAUCGAGGACAGUCGUGAGAACGAGAUAACGGAUAAGGGAGGUGAAUUAUCGCAGAGAAGAAACAGUCCCCUGUCAAAGUCAAGACCGAAGAAUCGGGAGGCGCGCAAAUCCCGCGCGGAACGACGGAGACGAAAGAAGAAGGAGAGGAAGGAGCGCAACAGAGGCCGGAAGAGCGCGCGACAGGACGACAAGCGACAGGAUGUCGCGCGUCGAUCGAAGCACGAGAAGAAAAUGUACGACGGCCUGAGCGAUUUUCUCCGUGAAAAAGUCGACCCCGCCAGGAUUGACACGUCCGAGAAAUCGUCAAGCGUCACUUUCGACCGAGCCUCGUCGAUAGCGGCCGUCAACACGACGUUGCCGUCGAGUGUCGAGCAUCGGCCGACGCUCGAGGCGACGAAGAGGCCAAGAAUAUGCCUGCGUUGCGGCAUUUACACGGCCGACACGGUGGAAAGAGAAUUCUCCAAGCAGCUCGAGAUGGAGAUUUCCAAAUCCGCUUCGAAGAAUCCUUCGAUUCUGGACGACGGUAUUUUCGAUACCUCUCCUAAGAAAUCGGUGGAACGCGAAACCGAUGAAAACCGAGGUAUGGAGUCGAGCGAGACCGACACUUUGUCGAAUGCCGAAAGCAAAUUCGGGGGCUCGCGUUACGACGUCGAGAAGAUGCUGGGCUACUCGAGAACCGAGGAGGAUCUGCCGAUCUUGGAUCUGGAGAACCAAGUGCUGGAGAGGACUCUGAAGGACUACAACGCGUACAUGACGUCGAGGUUGAAGCCGGCGCCGUCAUUACCGCCGAUUCGUCGCACCUCCGGCUCACAUCCUCCGAGAAAACCGAUAAUUAAUUCGGAGGAGAGCGACGAGGAACUCGACGACGGAAGCGCGGAAGUCACGAGCGUGACGAAAGCAUCGCAGGACGACGGCACGAGCGGGGAUUUAUCCUGCAUAAACGGGACGUUCCUGCCGGCGCCUCUAUCUCGCCACGCGCUGAUCAAAUAUGUAAAGUCCUCGACCCCGGGCCACGAGUAUUUGGAAGCCGAUUACGAGUGCGUGCCAGGAUUCCAUAUGGUAUCCCCCACGAGCCGAUUAGUCUGCCGGAAUCGUCAGUGGGUCGGACAGGUGCCAAAGUGCGAGAUCAAGCAAAACCCGAACGCCGGUCUAUGCGCUGAAGCAUCCUGCGAGCAUGUUUGCAACGAAAUUAACGGACGUGCCGUCUGUUCCUGCUACGAAGGAUUCAGAUUGGAUGGCCGCAAAUGCGUUGACAUCAACGAGUGUUUGCUGAACAACGGCCACGGUCCGUGCCAGGACACCUGUCGAAAUCUCGUAGGAGGAUACGAGUGCUCCUGCGAAGGUUUGCAAGACGCGUCGCUCUCGACCGACAAUCACACGUGCGAGCACGACAAACACACGGGUCCGUGCAGCGUUAACAACGCCGGAUGCUCUCACACGUGUUUGUCGACGAUGGGUCGGGUGUUUUGCCUGUGUCCGGACGGUUUUAUGCUCGAGGACGACUGGAAAACCUGCCAAGAUGUGGAUGAAUGCUCGGUGCCGGAUCUUCAGACGGACCUGUGUCGCUAUGGAUGCAUUAACACCCCGGGUUCCUACCGAUGUGCGGAACCUAUGGAGUUGAGGGAUCAGCCAGUUCUGGACAGCCUGUCCAUCACUUGCCUGCCGGGCUACGAACAGACCGCCCAUGGGACGUGCAUCGAUAUCAACGAGUGCACGGUUGAUAACGGCGGGUGUACGGAGGUGUGCGAGAAUACAGACGGAAGCUUCUUCUGUGCUUGCGACGGCGACGAGAAAGCCCUGUCAUCCGACGGGAAGUCCUGCGUAGACAUAAAUAGCAUCGCGUGUCUACCAUUAAAUCCGGUUAGUCGUGGUUAUUUAACGUGCUCUCGAUUAGCCACGUCUAAAUUGUGGCGCGACAGGCGAAAAGUGCCCAAUCGACCUGGUACAAGAUGUUUCUUAAAGUGUCCUCGAGGAUAUCAGCUUCGCGGUGAAUACGAGUUAACUUGUCGAUCCGAUGGCACCUGGGAUGGAUCGCAGGACGGAAAAUGCGUCAGAUACAGCAAGCCGCGAUUGGAGUGUCCGAAGGAUGUCGUAGCCGAGUUACCGCCAGGCAGGGAUGAGGCGUUUGUGACCUUUGAUCAACCGGCGACGGAUCUCGAUUGGUUCCGAUACGUGCGAUCGAAACCGUCCUGGGGUACGCGACUCGAAGCCACUCUGCAGCCUGGCGUGCACGAGAUCACGUUUUUCGCACGACAUCCGAUAUCGAAAAAGCAGGCCAGCUGUGUGUUACGCAUUAUCGUCAAAGGUGGCGAAGCACCGAAAGUCAAAGACUGUCCGAGGGACAUCCAAGUUAUCGGAAAGAACGGAACGGCAAUCACAUGGACGGAGCCGACUUUCACGGAUAAUGUGAAGGUGACGCGAAUCAGUAAUAAUGAGAAUCCGGGUCGUCGCUUCGACAUCGGCGGUCAUCGGAUUGAGUACGAAGCGAGCGAUGAGGCCGGCUGGUCGAGCAAGUGCGUUUUCACCGUGGUCCUUCGUUGGGAAUAGGCAAGCGGCGAAACAGGAAAGGAAAUCGACCGACCGGCAAGAGUAGGAGAGAGAAACGGACCGAACGAGCGAGAAAAGAGGGAAGAAGCAGCGCGGAAGAAUAACGAUAAGACUCACCCAGCGUCGUCGAAAGGAGCAUCAAACAAACCGCCAAGCCGCUCAUCUUCGCUGAUGGAUCUGUU
rnacentral:misc_RNA from 1 species